GCGUAGGAACGUGUCUAAUGGUGGGGAAUAACCGCGGGAAACCUCGGCUAAUACCGCAUGAAAUCGCGAGAUCAAAGGGGCCGUCUGCUUGCAAGCUCUCGCCAUUAGAGCGGCCUACGUCCUAUUAGCUAGUUGGUAGAGUAAUAGCCUACCAAGGCAAUGAUGGGUAACUGGUCUGAGAGGAUGAUCAGUCACACUGGAACUGAGACACGGUCCAGACUCCUACGGGAGGCAGCAGUGGGGAAUCUUGCACAAUGGGCGAAAGCCUGAUGCAGCAACGCCGCGUGGGUGAAGAAGGUC
rnacentral:rRNA from 1 species